rnacentral:lncRNA from 1 species
UGUUUCUCAUCUUCACUUGCUUAAAUGUCGUUUUCCUCAAACGUCUCGUACGCAGGUAGAAGUGUCAGUCACGAAGUAGGCUGAGACAGGCUUCCUACUUUCUUACGUGCUAAAGCACUGAUCUAUGUGAUGUUCUACCAGAUGAAGGUGAGGACACCUAUACAUUGAAUUUGGUGUGGUUUUCAUUAGCUCGACCCGUAGAGUCCACCAGGAUUUCUGUGCACUACAAGUCGUUAUUACGUGGGCCCCCGUAAUAAUAAAUUGUCUUGCACAGUUACCCCAAUUUUCUCUCGUCCAAGCAGAUGAUUGAUCUAGGAGGGGACACUACUGUCCUUACACUCCUUGCCAUGGAAAGGACCAUUGCGGAGUUACCCCAAAUUUUCUCUCGUCCAAGCAGAUGGUCAAUCAAGGAGUAAUAGCAGGUGCAUUGGCAUGAACGGGGUCAUGCUCCAAUGCGGUGUUAG